rnacentral:rRNA from 1 species
GAUGAGGAGCUUGCUCCUCUGAUGGUUAGCGGCGGACGGGUGAGUAACACGUAGGCAACCUGCCCUCGAGAUUGGGAUAACUACCGGAAACGGUAGCUAAUACCGGAUAAUUUAUUUCACCGCAUGGUGGAAUAAUGAAAGGCGGAGCAAUCUGCUACUUGAGGAUGGGCCUGCGGCGCAUUAGCUAGUUGGUGGGGUAAUGGCUCACCAAGGCGACGAUGCGUAGCCGACCUGAGAGGGUGAACGGCCACACUGGGACUGAGACACGGCCCAGACUCCUACGGGAGGCAGCAGUAGGGAAUCUUCCGCAAUGGACGAAAGUCUGACGGAGCAACGCCGCGUGAGUGAUGAAGGUUUUCGGAUCGUAAAGCUCUGUUGCCAGGGAAGAACG